CUACGGGUUGCUGCAGUGAGGAAUAUUGCACAAUGGGGGGAACCCUGAUGCAGCAACGCCGCGUGGAGGAUGACGCAUUUCGGUGUGUAAACUCCUUUUAUAUGUCAAGAAAAUGACGGUAGCAUAUGAAUAAGCACCGGCUAACUCCGUGCCAGCAGCCGCGGUAAUACGGAGGGUGCAAGCGUUACUCGGAACCACUGGGCGUAAAGGACGCGUAGGCGGGCUUGUAAGUCAGGUGUGAAAUCCUACAGCUUAACUGUAGAACUGCACUUGAAACUACGAGCCUAGAGUAUGGGAGGGGCAGAUGGAAUUAGUGGUGUAGGGGUAAAAUCCGUAGAUAUCACUAGGAAUACCUAAAGCGAAGGCGAUCUGCUGGAACAUAACUGACGCUAAGGCGUGAAAGCGUGGGGAGCAAACAGGAUUAGAUACCCGCGUAGUC
rnacentral:rRNA from 1 species